rnacentral:rRNA from 1 species
UGAGUAACGCGUGAGCAACCUGCCUAUGACAGUGGGAUAGCCUCGGGAAACCGGGAUUAAUACCGCAUAAAAUCGUAGAAACACAUGUUUUAACGGUCAAAGAUUUAUCGGUCAUAGAUGGGCUCGCGUCUGAUUAGCUAGUUGGUGAGAUAACAGCCCACCAAGGCGACGAUCAGUAGCCGGUCUGAGAGGAUGAACGGCCACAUUGGAACUGAGACACGGUCCAA